rnacentral:lncRNA from 1 species
GAAGACUGAAACUUGAAGACCGACGAACUUGAAGACUUCAACUUUGAGAGUUGGAGGGCCUAAAUAUUUCAACUUGAAGAUCGGCGAAUUUGAAGACUUCAACUUGAAGACCGACGGACUUGAAGAUUUCAACUUUGAGACUUGGAGGGCCUAAAUAUUUCAACUUGAAGAUCGGCGAAUUUGAAGACUUCAACUUGAAGACCGACGGACUUGAAGACUUCAACUUUGAGAUUUGGAGGGCCUAAAUAUUUCAACUUGAAGAUCAGCGGAUUUGAAGACUUCAACUUGAAGACCGACGGGGUUGAAGAUUUCAACUUGGGGACUUCAACUUGAAUACACUUGAAGACUUCAACUUGGAGACUUCGAGGGCUUAAAUAUUUCAGCUUCUCUUUUGCUUUACAUCGUUUGACUUUUAUCUUAAUUGCAUAAUUUUC